rnacentral:rRNA from 1 species
AUUGAACGCUGGCGGCAGGCCUAACACAUGCAAGUCGAAUGGCAACAGGAAACAGCUUGCUGUUUCGCUGACGAGUGGCGGACGGGUGAGUAAUGUCUGGGAAACUGCCUGAUGGAGGGGGAUAACUACUGGAAACGGUAGCUAAUACCGCAUAACGUCGCAAGACCAAAGAGGGGGACCUUCGGGCCUCUUGCCAUCAGAUGUGCCCAGAUGGGAUUAGCUAGUAGGUGGGGUAACGGCUCACCUAGGCGACGAUCCCUAGCUGGUCUGAGAGGAUGACCAGCCACACUGGAACUGAGACACGGUCCAGACUCCUACGGGAGGCAGCAGUGGGGAAUAUUGCACAAUGGGCGCAAGCCUGAUGCAGCCAUGCCGCGUGUAUGAAGAAGGCCUUCGGGUUGUAAAGUACUUUCAGCGGGGAGGAAGGGAGUAAAGUUAAUACCUUUGCUCAUUGACGUUACCCGCAGAAGAAGCACCGGCUAACUCCGUG